rnacentral:lncRNA from 1 species
AAGAAGAAGGUGGAAGGUUAGAUCACUGAAGCCGAGCAUCUGGUAAUGGACGCUUUUUGGGCAUCUAAAAAAUUCUCUAGGGAGAAGAUUGAAUUCGGCCAGAAAGCUUCCAUCGUCGGACAAGAUGUUUGCUGUCAAAAGAUAGCGAUGCAUUUUUUAGACUUGGACCUAGCCUUUUUGGAUGAAGAAGAUGAGGAGGC